AUACUCUCAUUUCUCUUCAGAUUGUAUAAAUCUUUUGCAUUUUACUAAAGAUUUCUGUGGAGAGGAACAAUUCUGAGCUUAUAUGCAAUUUUUGAGGCUGUGUGUCAAUAAAGC
ensembl:snRNA U5 U5 spliceosomal RNA